AGCUUCGGGGUGUGAUCACGUCAGAUUGCAAAUCUGGAGAGGCGGGGUAAACACCCGUCGGAGCUUACCCCCCCCCCCCCCCCC
rnacentral:tRNA from 1 species